CGAAGCCUCGCGUGCCCGACACCUCGCCCGUGCUUUCUCUUCUCUCGAUCGCCUGCCCUAACCGCACAUCUCCACAAAAUCGCCCAGUGACGGUUCCAUCCUUCUCCCUCACGACCUCGCCAAAAGCCGAGCACCUCCCCUCUACCUAGCGGCGGAGCCCUAGCUCUCGAUCCACCGCCGACCGAUUGCCAUCCUUGUCGCAGCACCUUAGCGCCACCACCGUCCCGACGCCACUUCCUCUUCCUCUGCCGUAGCCCUAGUUUCCACUGCUGCCCGUUGCCAGCCAAGACUCGAGUAGUGCCGAUCAAGCCGACUCUCAUUUCCUCUGCCCUAGCGACGGCAGACGGUCGUCCCUCUGCCGACCAUCGCUGGAGACUAUCUCUUUUUCUCGAUUAGCCGUGAGCCACAGAGUAGAGCCACUUCUCGCAACAAGCAGCAAAGAUUGUUGUUUUGCCCCAUAUUUCCUCUUGCUGCCGGAUCCAAUCCAAGGCAGUAGUGAUUCGGUAGUGUGAUAGCAGGAGGGUUGCAGGUUUGAUGAGUAGCAUUACUGCUCUACUGAUUUCGGGCUGGCAAGUGCUGUGGGGUUGCUCUUGAUUCUGGCAGCAACCAUUUCGGCUGUGUAUCACAGUAGUAGUUUGGUGAAAAGAAGUGAAGUGCAGGUGAUUUAUUGGGUUCCGACAGUUAAUCCUAUUCCAGCAGCGAUAUCCCUAGCAGUGGAUCAUUAUUAGGGACUGUGAGUUUAAGAUUUCUGCAGAAUUCAGCAGCAACUGCUUCCUUGCUUCAACUCUCCUAUCUCAGUUGAGGAUUACUAAUAACCACAUUCUCCAAAAGCUAUAGAAAAGCUCCUAAUCAGCAACACUGCAUCUUGAUUCAGUUUCUGAAAAUUUCAGAAACUGUACCCUCAGUUUUCAGCAGGAUGUUCUCCAGAUGCUGGAAUUCAGGGUGAUCUUGGCCGGAUUCAUGAAAAGCUGAGCUUAGGGGAAUUGAAUGUCAUUGAAUGCUCUUAAUUCCAUUCAUUCCCUGGUCAACAAUAUUAAAAUUCUGAUACUUACAGCUUCGGAAAUGAAUCUGUCUUUUAGUUCA